GACGAACGCUGGCGGCGUGCUUAACACAUGCAAGUCGAACGGAAAGGCCUCUUUCGGGGGGUACUCGAGUGGCGAACGGGUGAGUAACACGUGAGUAACCUGCCCUUGACUUUGGGAUAACUUCAGGAAACUGGGGCUAAUACCGGAUAGGAGCUCCUGCUGCAUGGUGGGGGUUGGAAAGUUUCGGCGGUUGGGGAUGGACUCGCGGCUUAUCAGCUUGUUGGUGGGGUAGUGGCUUACCAAGGCUUUGACGGGUAGCCGGCCUGAGAGGGUGACCGGCCACAUUGGGACUGAGAUACGGCCCAGACUCCUACGGGAGGCGGCAGUGGGGAAUAUUGCACAAUGGGUGGAAGCCUGAUGCAGCAACGCCGGGUGCGGGAUGACGGCCUUCGGGUUGUAAACCGCUUUCGCUCAUGACGAAGCUUUGUGUGACGGUAGUGGGUAAAGAAGCACCGGCUAACUACGUG
rnacentral:rRNA from 1 species